CUUCCUUGCACCUUGGCAAGGCCCCGGGAGCAGGGACCUUUUCUCUCCCACUAUACAGAUGGGGACACUGAGGCGCUGGUUCUCAAUCUAUGAAAAAAUGGGGUGCUGGUAGGUAGGUCAACCUGGGUCCCACGGGGAGUUUUCAAACUCCUGAUGACUCCAGAGAAUUACGCUGAGUGAAAAAAGCCUGUCCCGGCCGGGCGCGGUGGCCCACGCCUGUAAUCCCCGCACUUAAGGAGGUCGAGGCAGCCGGGUCACAAGGUCAAGAGAUCGAGACCAGCCUGGCCAACAUGCCGGGCGUGGUGGCGGGUGCCUGUCGUCCCAGCUACUCGGGAGGCUGAGGCAGGAGAAUGGCGUGAACCCGGGGAGACGGAGCUUGCAGUGAGCCGAGAUGGCGCCACCGCACCCCAGCCUGGGCGACAGAGCAAGACUACGUCUCAAAAUAAAUAAAUAAAUAAAUAAAUAA
rnacentral:lncRNA from 1 species